rnacentral:rRNA from 1 species
UAAUUUGGUUUUGUUGAAAUUGUUUUUGUUGAGGAAUGGAAAUAGAUUUUUAUUAAUUGUAAAUUUUAUACCUUUUGCAUAAUGGUUUUGCUAUAAUGAAAAUGUAUUUAUUUGGACCCGAAUCAAGAAGAUCUAUAUUAUUUCCAUCAUUUGUGUGGCAUUACGAAGAGUCUGAAGAUAGUAUAGGGGUGAAAAGCCUUCAAUUCUUGGGAUAGCUGGAUUUUUCAAAAACGUAUUUAGUACGGAAGACAGGCCCUUUAUGGUUAGAUAAGGGGAGGAGGAGAAUCUUUAAUACGCACAAAUUUUUUCCAGGGAUAAAACCUCUAGUGGAACAGAAUUAAUUUAAUACUAAUUUCAUUUUUUAUCUCUUUAGUAUGAAAAACAGAAUAAAAAUUAAGUUAUUUUUUUAGAAUGCAAAAAUUAGUAGUAUAUAAGUGAGCUUAAGGAACUCGGCAAACUUUUCCCUCAACUGUUUAUCAAAAACAUAGCCCUAAGAAAAUAUUUAGGGUGAGCCCUGCCCGGUGACAAAUUAAUUUUUAACGGCCGCAGUACCUUGACUGUGCUAAGGUAGCGUAAUCAGUUGGCUUUUAAAUGGAGUCUUGUAUGAACGGGAACAUGGGGGAAAGCUGUCUCAAGCUUAGGAAUCGAAGUUGCUAAUAAGGUGAAAAUGCCUUAACUAAAUUAAAAGACGAGAAGACCCUUAGAGCUUUAAUAAAUUGAAUUAUUGUUCAAUACUUUUUUGUUGGGGCGACAAGGAGACAACGAACUCUCCCUUUUUUGUAGAACUUGCCGACUGAUUGUAAGAAAGAAUAAGCUACCUUAGGGAUAACAGCAUUAUUUUUUAUAAAGCUUAUGACCUCGAUGUUGGACUAGGGACUUUAUGACUAGCCGUCAGAUUAGCAUGUUCUGUUCGAACAAAUGGACCCUACAUGAUCUGAGUUCAGACCGGCGUAAGCCAGGUCAGAUUCUAUCUUUAAAUUUAUUCAGUUUUAGUACGAAAGGACCAAACUGGAUUCAUUAAUUUG